rnacentral:rRNA from 1 species
AUUGAACGCUGGCGGCAUGCCUUACACAUGCAAGUCGAACGGCAGCACGGGUGCUUGCACCUGGUGGCGAGUGGCGAACGGGUGAGUAAUACAUCGGAACAUGUCCUGUAGUGGGGGAUAGCCCGGCGAAAGCCGGAUUAAUACCGCAUACGAUCUACGGAUGAAAGCGGGGGACCUUCGGGCCUCGCGCUAUAGGGUUGGCCGAUGGCUGAUUUGCUAGUUGGUGGGGUAAAGGCCUACCAAGGCGACGAUCAGUAGCUGGUCUGAGAGGACGACCAGCCACACUGGGACGGAGACACGGCCCAGACUCCUACGGGAGGCAGCAGUGGGGAAUUUUGGACAAUGGGCGAAAGCCUGAUCCAGCAAUGCCGCGUGUGUGAAGAAGGCCUUCGGGUUGUAAAGCACUUUUGUCCGGAAAGAAAUCCUUGGCCCUAAUACGGUCGGGGGAUGACGGUACCGGAAGAAUAAGCACCGGCUAACUACGUG